rnacentral:rRNA from 1 species
GUUGAUCCUGCGGGAGAUUGCUGCUAUUGGAGUUCGACUAAGCCAUGCAAGUCUGGUAGUAAUACCGGCGGAAUGCUCAGUAACACGUCGAUAAUCUGCCUUUAGGUCAGGGAUAACCUUGGGAAACUGAGGGUAACACCUGAUAUGAGAAUUAUACUGGAAUGUUUUUUCUCUCAAAACUUCGGUGCCUAAAGAUGAGUCGGCGGCGGAUUAGAUUGUUGGUGAGGUAAUGGCUCACCAAGUCUACGAUCCGUAGGGGCCUUGAAAGAGGUAGCCCCGAGAAGGACACUGAGAUACUGGUCCUAGCCCUACGGGGUGCAGCAGGCGCGAAACCUUUACAAUGCACGCAAGUGUGAUAAGGGAACUCCAAGUGCUCGUGCAAUGCACGGGCUUUUGCCAAGAGUAAAUAUCUUGGCGAAUAAGUGGUGGGUAAGACCGGUGCCAGCAGCCGCUUUAACACCGGCGCCACAAGUGGGAAUCAUUUAUUUGGCCUAAAGCGUCCGUAGCUGGUUUAUUAAGUCUUUUGUGAAAUCAUGGGGCUCAACUUCAUGGCGUGCAGAAGAAACUGAUAAACUCGGAACCGGAAGGCGUCAGAAGUAUGGUGGGGGGAGCGGUAAAAUGUUAUAAUCCUCGCUAGACUACCUGUGGCGAAGGCGUCUGACGAGUACGGAUUCGACAGUGAGGGACGAAAGCCAGGGGAGCGAUCCGGAUUAGAUACCCGAGUAGUCCUGGCCGUAAACGCUGCGAGCAAGGUGUUGCAUAUUCUACGUGAAUGUGCAGUGUCGAAGCGAAGGCGAUAAGCUCGCCGCCUGGGAAGUAUGGUCGCAAGGCUGAAACUUAAAGGAAUUGGCGGGGGAGCACUACAAGGGGUGCGGCGUGCGGUUUAAUCUAAUUCAACGCAGAGAAUCUCACCAUGGGCGACGGCAGGAUGAUAGUCGGGCUAAAGACUCUACUUGACGAGCCGAGAGGUAGUGCAUGGCCGCCGUCAGCUCGUGCCGCAAGGUGUCCUGUUAAGUCAGGUAACGAGCGAGACCUGCGCUCAUAAUUGCUAGCAGCUCCAUAGGAGGACUGAGCACAUUAUGAGGACUGCCCUGGAAACAGGGAGGAAGGUGCAGGCUACGGUAGGUCUGUAUGCUCCGAAUCUCAUGGGCAACACGCGCGCAACAAUGAUAAGGACAAUAGGAUACGACUCCAAAAGGAGAAGUUAACCCCUGAAACCUUAUCUUAGUACGGAUUGAGGAUUGUAACUCAUCCUCAUGACGCUGGAAUCCCUAGUAAUCGGAUCUCAACAUGGUCCGGUGAAUACGUCCCUGCUCCUUGCACACACCGCCCGUCAAACCACUCGAGCAGGGUCUAGGUGAAAUUCAGUUUUUUGAUUGGAUUGAACCUAGGCUCAGUGAGAUGGGUUAAGUCGUCACAAGGUA